rnacentral:lncRNA from 1 species
UGGAUGGAAUUUGGGGUUUGGGUGGAAUUUUGGGCUUUUGGGUGGUCCUGGGUGGAUUUUGGGUGGAAUUUGGUCUUGAGGAACCUUCUGGAGAAUUUCAGGCUGAAGGUCAUGGUGGAGUUUGGGGACCUUUUGGGUGGAGUUCUGGGUUUGGGUGGAAUUUUGGGGUCACCUGGGAGGAAUUUGGAAUUUUGGGUGGAAUUUUGGGUUUUUGGCGGAAUUUAGUCUUGAGGAACCUUCUGGAGAACUUCAGGAUGAAGACAAAGGUGGAAUUUUGGGGUCUCCUGGGAGGAAUUUUGGGGUUUUGGGUGGAAUUUUGGGUCACCUGGAUGGAAUUUGGAAUUUUGGGUGGAAUUUUGGCGUUUUUGGUGGAAUUUGGUCUUGAGGAACCUUCUGGAGAACUUCAGGAUGGAGAUCAGGGUGGGGUUUGGGGACCUUUUGGGUGGAAUUUUUGGGUUUUGGGUGGUCCUGGGUGGAUUUUGGGUGGUUUUGGGUGGAAGUUGAUGGUGAGGAACCUUCUGGGGAACUUCAGGCUGAAGGUCAUGGUGGGGUUUGGGGACCUUUUGGGUGGAAUUUUUGGGGUUUUGGGUGGAAUUUUGGGGUUUUGGGUGGUCCUGGGUGGAUUUUGGGUGGAAUUUUGGGGUCACCUGGGAGGAACUUUGAAAUCCCCGAAAUCCCGAAAUUCCCAAAAUUCCCGUUUUUCUCCCCAAGCCGACCGCGAGGUCCAGCGGAUCCUUCUGGAGCUGCUGAACCAGAUGGACGGGUUCGACCAGAACGUCAACGUCAAGGUGGGCACGGGGGGCCCCCAGGUGUGCCCAGAAGGUGCCCGGGGGCGCCCAGGUGACCACGGCCACACCCCUGGCCACACCUGGACACAUCUGGGGCACACCUGGACACACCUGGAGGAGGAAUUUUGGGGAUUUUUGGGGUUUUUUGGAGAUUUUUGGGAAUUUUGGAGGUUUUAUGGGUUUUUUAUGGAUUUGGGUGGCUCCCAGGUGUGCCCAGGUGUGCCAACCUCACCUGUCCCACAGGUGAUCAUGGCUGGGCACAGCUGGGCACACCUGGAGGAGGAAUUUUUGGGGUUUAUGGGGAUUUUUUGAGGGUUUUUUUGGGGUUUUUUGGGUUUUUUAUGGGCCUGGGUGGGUUCGGGUGGCUCCCAGGUGUGCCCAGGUGUGCCAACCU